UCGAACGGUAACGGGAAGGAAGCUUGCUUUCUUUGCCGACGAGUGGCGGACGGGUGAGUAAUGCUUGGGAAUCUGGCUUAUGGAGGGGGAUAACUACGGGAAACUGUAGCUAAUACCGCGUAAUAUCUUAGGAUUAAAGGGUGGGACUUUCGGGCCACCUGCCAUAAGAUGAGCCCAAGUGGGAUUAGGUAGUUGGUUAGGUAAAGGCUGACCAAGCCGACGAUCUCUAGCUGGUCUGAGAGGAUGACCAGCCACACUGGAACUGAGACACGGUCCAGACUCCUACGGGAGGCAGCAGUGGGGAAUAUUGCACAAUGGGGGGAACCCUGAUGCAGCCAUGCCGCGUGAAUGAAGAAGGCCUUCGGGUUGUAAAGUUCUUUCGGUAGCGAGGAAGGUAUCAAAUUUAAUAGAUUUGGUAAUUGACGUUAACUACAGAA
rnacentral:rRNA from 1 species